rnacentral:rRNA from 1 species
AUUGAACGCUGGCGGCAUGCCUUACACAUGCAAGUCGAACGGCAGCACGGGAGCAAUCCUGGUGGCGAGUGGCGAACGGGUGAGUAGUACAUCGGAACGUGCCUAGUAGUGGGGGAUAGCCCGGCGAAAGCCGGAUUAAUACCGCAUACGACCUGAGGGUGAAAGCGGGGGAUCGCAAGACCUCGCGCUAUCAGAGCGGCCGAUGCCAGAUUAGGUAGUUGGUGGGGUAAAAGCCUACCAAGCCGACGAUCUGUAGCUGGUCUGAGAGGACGACGAGCCACACUGGGACUGAGACACGGCCCAGACUCCUACGGGAGGCAGCAGUGGGGAAUUUUGGACAAUGGGCGCAAGCCUGAUCCAGCCAUGCCGCGUGCAGGAAGAAGGCCUUCGGGUUGUAAACUGCUUUUGUCAGGGAAGAAAAGUUCUGGGCUAAUACCCCGGAGCGAUGACGGUACCUGAAGAAUAAGCACCGGCUAACUACGUGCCAGCCGCCGCAGUAA